GUCUACGGCCACACCACCCUGAAGGCGCCGGAUCUCGGAAGCUAAGCAGGGUCGGGCCUGGUCAGUACUUGGAUGGGAGACACCUGACAAAGCAGGCCUUGGAAC
rnacentral:rRNA from 1 species